rnacentral:snRNA from 1 species
GUGCUUGGGCAGCACAUACACUAAAAUUGGAAGGACACAGAGAAGAUGAGUGUGGCCCUGCACGAGGAUGACACGCAAAUUCGUGACAUGCUCCAUAUUUUU